rnacentral:rRNA from 1 species
UGGGGAAUAUUUCACAAUUGGCGCAAGCCUUAUGCAGCCAUGCCGCGUGUAUGAAGAAGGCCCUUGGGUUGUAAAGUACUUUCAGUCGGGAGGAAGGUGGUAAGGUUAAUAACCUUAUCAAUUGACGUUACCGACAGAAGAAGCACCGGCUAACCCCGUGCCAGCAGCCGCGGUAAUACGGAGGGUGCAAGCGUUAAUCGGAAUUACUGGGCGUAAAGCGCACGCAGGCGGUUGAUUGAGUCAGAUGUGAAAUCCCCGGGCUUAACCCGGGAAUUGCAUCUGAUACUGGUCAGCUAGAGUCUUGUAGAGGGGGGUAGAAUUCCAUGUGUAGCGGUGAAAUGCGUAGAGAUGUGGAGGAAUACCGGUGGCGAAGGCGGCCCCCUGGACAAAGACUGACGCUCAGGUGCGAAAGCGGGGGGAGCAAACAGG